ACACUCCUGCGGGAGGCAGCAGUGGGGAAUAUUGGACAAUGGGCGCAAGCCUGAUCCAGCCAUGCCGCGUGAGUGAUGAAGGCCCUAGGGUUGUAAAGCUCUUUCACCGGUGAAGAUAAUGACGGUAACCGGAGAAGAAGCCCCGGCUAACUUCGUGCCAGCAGCCGCGGUAAUACGAAGGGGGCUAGCGUUGUUCGGAUUUACUGGGCGUAAAGCGCACGUAGGCGGACUAUUAAGUCAGGGGUGAAAUCCCGGGGCUCAACCCCGGAACUGCCUUUGAUACUGGUAGUCUUGAGUUCGAGAGAGGUGAGUGGAAUUCCGAGUGUAGAGGUGAAAUUCGUAGAUACUCGGAGGAACACCAGUGGCGAAGGCGGCUCACUGGCUCGAUACUGACGCUGAGGUGCGAAAGCGUGGGGAGCAAACAGGAUUAGAAACCCUUGUAGUCCCA
rnacentral:rRNA from 1 species